rnacentral:rRNA from 1 species
UGCCCCCUACGGGACGCAGCAGUGGGGGAUAUUGCACAAUGGGGGAAACCCUGAUGCAGCGACGCCGCGUGGGCGAAGAAGUAUUUCGGUAUGUAAAGCCCUAUCAGCAGGGAAGAAGAAAUGACGGUACCUGAGUAAGAAGCACCGGCUAAAUACGUGCCAGCAGCCGCGGUAAUACGUAUGGUGCAAGCGUUAUCCGGAUUUACUGGGUGUAAAGGGAGCGCAGGCGGC